CAGAAAGUUGGAGAGAAAGAUAUUGCUGCUGGGUUUAGUGGAAAGAAAAUCAUUAUUUUUUUAAUUUGCUAUAAGUAAUGAACAAUAAAUUUUACUUCUGAAAUACUAGCUGUGUUUCGUGAAUGAGGAAAAGAGAGGCUAUAAAAAUAAGAGCAGCUGAAUGGAAAAAAAAAAAAAGGAUUAGAAGCAGUAUUUUUUCCCAUUAUGAUGUCAGGAUCUCACUUCAUGCAGAAAGCAUCGUCCAGUUGUGACCUCAUGGACUGUAAGACUUAACUUGAAAGUACUGACCAAGCAGUCAGUGUUGUCACCUGAAGCGGCAGUACGACACUACUCUUACCUGCUAAGCACCAGGGCUGAAGUUCACGCAGCAGGAGGCGGUUACCCCAAGGUGCACAGGAGAAAGAAUCAUCCCAGCAGUUACCUUGGUUGCGCAGUAUUUGGGAACAAACUGUGCCCUUGUGAGGAGAGAUGUGCCUAAGUACUUGAGAAUAAUUUGGGCAGCUGGCGAACUGUUACCCACUAGUUUACAGACAGAACUUUCACCUCUUCCCUUCUUUCCAAUUCGGUGAACUUGCCUAGGAAAUUGUGAGUAUAUUGAUGGCGACUUUGCUUCCCUAAAAGAUUUUAUUUACCUUUUAACGUGGUGUUUUAUUGUAGCCGUGUGUGUGCUGCCUUAUCAUACAGUAUGCUGUUGAACUGCUGAGAUGAUGAAUACCGCAAAAUAAACAAGAUUACUUCUGAUUAAACUGGUGAUGA
rnacentral:lncRNA from 1 species